AACAGUUACCCCCCUUUAACCACAUUCAGAUAAAUUUUUCAGUACUGUGAAUUGUGUUCACAAUGUUGUGCUACCAUCACCACCAUCCAUUACAAGUACAUUUCCAUUGUUCCAAUCAAUUGGAUGUUAGAGAUGAGAAAGAGUCACAGGCAAUUUUAUAAGAUUUCUAGUCUUAGUUAUUAAUGAGGAUGGUACCAUUUCAACCAAGCUAAGGAACAUUAAGAAGUAGGAAGAUUAGGGGCAUAUUGAGUUUGAGGAACCAGUUAGCGUCCCUAAGAAGAUCUAGAAAUGCUGGUCUGGAGCUUAGUAGAGGGGCCAGAGCCAAGUGUAGAUUUGGGAGUUUGAUUCACUUCUGCAGCUGCAUUGCUUAUGUGCCUCUACAGAGCCUGGCAAUGUUCUCUCAUACACUGACCCAGGCUUGAGAGCAACUAACACACAGCAGGCAUUGGCUUAGAGACAGGAGCUGAAGUCACAGGAGUGAAUGAGAGAGAAUGUAGAUUAAAGAAUAAAGAACACCAAAGGCGGAGUGUGGGAUGAUCCAGUAUAAAGGACAGGUGCAACAGAGCCAGUGCCACACCUGAGAAGGCAGUCAAGAAGUUAGAAAAAACCCCGGAGUGAAUGGCAGAACUGAGUGGAGGAGAGACUUUGGAGAUGAGCAGGGCGAGUAAUAGUGUAAGACCCUACAGAGAAAUCAGUUUGUAGAUUCAAGAGCAACCCUACUGUGGAUUCCACCUGGGAUGAAUUACAGUGGAAUGGUAAGAGCAGAAGGCCCUGGUGGGAGAAGAUAGUGAAUCUAUAUACUGUAUAUGUUUUUGUAAAUGAGGGAAAGUUUCUCACAGCAGUUCUGUCUACCCGUGAUGUUGACAGUCAACCUGAGGUGGCCGAGAAGAAGUGCUUCAUUUUAGCCAGAUGGGAGUGUUCCAACUAGCUUUAUUCUGACCUAAAAUAAAGGCUGACCUAAAGCCGUAAAAAUUUUAAUUUGCAAAACCAUUGUAUUAAAUCACAAAUGGGAGGCAAUUUAGCAGUGCAGCUCCAAAAUUGUACUGGGUGCUGGCUGGGGUUUUGCAAUUUAUGUUGAAAACUAAAAUUGAACUCUGUGGCAUAAAAACAGAUUGUUGAUUUUGUGAUUAAUUUGGUUGCGAAGGCCAAGGAAACAGGGAAUGCUGCAUAUCAGUCAUGAAGUUGUGGUAGUAUUUGUGGAGCAAAAUGAAAAUCAAUAUUGUAACCUACGGGAUAGCUCUCUUAAAAUCCAAGAUGUAUUUGGUUGCAAUUGCGUGGAAGAAACUCACCCCCAACGGGACAAACGUGCCUUCAUUAUUUCACAAGUGUGUGUCUGUUUUGAAACAGUAGAGGAAAAUGAUCGGGUAUUAUUAUAGUGCAGCUGAGAGGACUAGGAGAAAGAUCAAAUUGUUGCAGUUUAGAAUAAAACCUGGCUUACGGUUAUGUGUGUCCUAAGGCAGCCUCAAGGAGUAAUCUCCGGGAGGGUUGUGCAGUCAGAAGCCAGGAUACCUGGGCUAUACUUCAGUCUCCGCUAAUCACAUGCUGGUGUUAGACAAGUCUCUUCCUCUCUCUAGUGUGUUUUGUGGUUUUAUGUGUUAGUACUUCAGAGACGCAUUGACAUAUUUCAGUGAAAAAGGAGUGUCUUCCAUUAGCAUCAUUAUGAAUAAGACACCCAAAGGGUUUGUUUAUGUUUUCAUUCCUAGAAGGGGGAAUAUACUUCUUUUCUAUUAAGCCUGUGCAUUUAGAGAGGGGAGUGUGGGAAAUUCCUUUCAUGUUUUGUCUUUUGUUUUGGCAAAGGCAAGAACGAUUCCUGCUUUCCAUGGCAAAAGAAUAAUCAAUAGCAGACUGCUUUACACACAUAGUUGGAGCCCUUUGUAGAUGGAGAUGUCGAGAACUAGGGAAUGAUUUGCUCACAGGUUAUUUUAGUUGGCAGUGGUGCCCAGAUGAGAACGUCCAGGCAAAGAUUCAUUCUGUGAUCCUACCUGCCAUUUUCCUAAGUGGCACUGGAAUUAAUUCAGUAUGAUCCACGAUCCAGUUGAAAUUUACUACCAGCCUAGUCCAUCCUUAACCUAGUACAUUACAAAAUUGUAUCCUUUCAGAUCACAUCUCACUUUAAAGUCAGAGGAGUAAGAUGUAGCCAAAAGAAAGGAGGGUAAGUAGAAAUAAGUAGAACUGCUAAGAGCUCAUUUCAGUGAAGUGUGCCUCCCGUGGCCCUUUUAAACUGCUACUUUUCCCUGUGGCUUAUAAUUAUUUGAGUGCAGGGUUUUGCAGUGGUUUGUCCUUGAGGUAUGGGCAGAGGUGGUGAUUUGUUUCUUCUCCCGUCUAUUUUGUUUCUCCUCAUUUCAACUUAAGGAAUGAAUUAUGUGGUCUUUUAUAAGAUAGAAAUUAGUGCAGCGUUUCUAAGUCACUUUGUGAUCUCCCUUCAGAGCUGACUCUUUGCAAAGAAACACUUCUGUCUUGUCAGAAAUGACAGUGAUUACUCCACAGUUUGGAUCAUCUCCAGCAGCUUUUGUUCCCUGAAAAACGGGCUUGAUUUGAUUAAUAAAAGUUUGGUAUAUUUGAUGAGUCAGAGGGCAGGAGAAUGUCCUUGUCUCUGAUGAGGCUCUUAGAUCAGACACAUUGAACAUCGGGGAUAAAAUCAACCUUAAUCUCCGAAGGAAAAACCCUGGAGCAUGAAACUGUUCUCACUAGAAAUGCUGCUGUAAAUCUUGCAAACCAUGUAGGUUUUCUGUUUGGGGCAACAUCAAAGCCCGGUGACUUUAGAGAUUAAAGUGUGUUUGACAAGCAAAACUUUCCCUGUGCCGUGCUCUGUACGAGAUUUGGCCUGUCUCUUGCCUUUGUUGAUUCCUGGUAAGACUUCUUUCUUCCCAAGAAGUGGGCAGCUUCACCUCCUCAGACCAGAGGAGGCUGCGGCGGUUUGUUCAUUUCAAGCCAGUCGUGGGCCGGGCAGCGGUCCCUCAGCCUCCAGCAUUGUCCUGCCCCUGCGGAGGACAAUGCCCUGUCUCAUCCCCUUCCCAGGGGCCCUCUUAUUUGGGAAGAGUUUCAGAGCCUUUUGCUGACUGUAAGCAGAUCAAACGACAGGAAGACUGUGGCUCUUCCCUCGGCUUGGACAAAGGAUUGAGUCUUUUACCUUAGAAUAUCUGUUUCUUUUAAAACCAUCUUCUGUGCCGUCUCAAGAAAGGCUUGUAUCUUUUUUUUUUAAACCUGUUUUCUGCAUUUGUGAUGUCGCUGUGCUAAUUCUUUUGCAGAUUGGAAAUAAGUGACUGUAUUUUUGUUUGAAUAAAGAAAAAUGUUUUUCAGAGAAAUGAAAUUACUGUUUAACAGAGAAAAAACUUUUCUUCAGUAACAUCCCUUUUGGAAAGUAAGGGGCGAUUUGCUUUCCAGCCAGAACUUUUAAAGGAAUUGUGCUCUCUAAAGUCAAGGAUUCUUUCUUCUUGCCAGGUUUCUAGAAGACCUGGCCUUUGGCUGCUUCUCAGGGUGGUCAUAUGAUAGGAAGGGGAGGACAGAUUGGGAUGGCAAAAGGCUUUAAAGGUGACACCCAUAGCGUAAAAUUCCCACUUAUUACUGGAAAAGCAUUUUGCGUAAAAACGGGUAUUCCCAAGUGAAAGGGUGGCAAUGGCAAAUGGUUAAGAGACUCACUAAAAUAUCUUAAAUUGUCUCUGUUAAACAUGUUGCAUCCUUAGAGGUCAGAUAGAGCUGAAACUUGAACAGCUGUACAACAAGCAUCUGAGAUUGUUUUUAAUUGUGUCCCCUUUCUCUAACAGCAGUAAUUCUUGUUUAUAUUGUCAAGAACCUUUCCACUCAGCACAAGCACACCAUACUUGAAGGUCAAAUGCUUAACCCUUCUGCAUGGUUACAAUGAAAAUGGGCCCUUUUGUUUUCAUUAAUGUAUACCCCAGCCGUGCCUACAGGGAGAAUGGGGGCCUCAGGCGUUCACCAAGCUGAAGUAACUUAUUGUAAAAGUGCCACAAAGACAGCAUAUUUUUGUUUCCAUACAACAGUUGUUUAGCCUUUGCCUUGUGCACCCAACCACAAGACAGUAUGCUCAUUUAUCAACAGGCAGAAUUUUUGGCUACCAUUUUGUUCCUUUGACCUGUGUUACUUUUUACUGACCCGACCAAAUUGCUUAAAAAUUUUCUCUUUCUGCUGUCAGUGUUUAAAGCUGCUUAGUGUCUCUGAAGUGGUCUCCCCAUACCCCCCUUUCUUUUUAACACUUUACAUUCCUGUGUUUACCACAGCACCUGUUACUGUAGUGAACCAUGAAAUUACAAAUGUUAUGCAGCUCUUAUUGACUGAUAAUCCUUUAUUAAAUAUAAAUAGAGUAUUCUCUGGACUCCGGGGUGGUGUAUAUAGGUAAGCAGGCAAAUACACAUAUGUUCAAACACACACAUAUAUUUAUUUGUGAGGGUCCAUUAGGAAAGUAUGCCGGUGUAUCUGUUUGUCAGGCACGAAAUCUUUCUUUCUUUGCUUCUUAAGAGUUAACCAAAACUAAAGGGGCCAGUUCAGCAAACGUUAAAUAUGAGCCUCAAACUUGAAGGCUGCUUUGUUACUGAAACAAAAAUUCCACAGCAGGUGGUGGACUUGAACACAGGAGGGAGGAGGAGGUUCAGUUGUUGCCCAUUUUUCUAAUCCUUUCAGAAUACCCAUUGUCUAAACCCCAAAGUUAAAGUGUCCCUGCUCAGUCUCAUGGAGACAAUUUCAGCAUGAAAGGGCUGUGCCCGUCACUGGUUUUCUACAGCGGUUGGGUAUGGAAUUUAUAACCACUAAACAAGGCAGGGGAGGCAAGGAUCUCUAUAAGAUGAGCCAGUAGUCUCUGCUUAUCAAAGCAUAAAACCGUUCUGAAUAUGGCAAGUUUUAGAGUUAAGUAGAAUUCAUGCAGAAUUCAUGCCGACAGCAGUGGUAUUUUGCAGGUUUUCGACUGUGUUAAUCAAUCAAGAUAGAAUUAUGGCUUUUGUUGUCCUUGGGGCUCUCGAAGCAACUUUAGGGCAACCACAUUAGCCUUCUGAAGCCAGGGUUAAACUUGGCACUUAUCAAGGUGCUUCAUGAACUCGGGGUAUGGAUUUAAAAGGGAUUAAUAAUUGAAAUUGGAAUGGCUGAUUUCUUUCCCUAAAGAGGAAUGAAAUAUUUAACUCUAGACCUCUGGGCAUCCUUGGUAGAAGACAUUAAACGAUGAGUUAAAGGGCAAAGGCAGAACACUGGACAAAUUCCUGUUCCUGCUUAUUAGGAAGGGUACCACAUAUCCCACUCAUGUGCGAAGUUCCCCUGUGUCCUCAUAGAGCCAUCCAGAGAUGUUUUCUUUAUUCCAAGUCACAGUUGGAAUCACUUUUUUUUAAUAUGAAUGCCGUGGAGUGAUAGUGUUCUUGUAUAAAUUCCUGAGAAAUCUGGAGUUGAAAAUCUUCUUCCCAUAAAUUUUAGAUACGGAUUCUAAUAACUGUGUAGAUGCUCUUUCAAUCAUGUUUUUACACAGUUGCUCAAGUGAACAUUGGAUAUAUUCUUAACCAGAAAGAAGCUACAUUGCUGCUGCUUAAGCCACACACUGGAUUCAAUACAAUUGCUCUCAGUGACAGUGAACGAAUGGCAUCUGCAAAACUUGAGGACUUUUGUAACCUUCUGGAUAGUCCCAGUAUUCGGAACUGAGUGUUUCCAUCUGAUUCUCAUAUUCCUUUCAUAUGUAAUAUAAGUAUGGGAAGAGGGUAAAAAUCGUAAAUAAUAUUAUCAUUUUCAGCCUUGACCUGGGGUCAUAUAGCUAGGAAGGCUCUGUGAUAUCUGGAGUGGAUCUAGUUGGAAAGAGAGUCUGGUAGCUCGGAGGCUCAGCAGCCAGUUGGCUGUCAUCAUCUGUAUUCAAAACGAUGUUAUUCACUCUCUGAACCCCACUGUCUUACUGAUACCGUUGUCAGGAGCUUAGUGUCGUUUGCCCCAGCGCACUACUACCCUUAGCGCUCUCUUCACUGGCAGUGAGACCCCGGGCCAGCUAUUGGACAUGCUGAGCCUUGGUUCCUUCAGUUGUUAAAUGAAUUUGGCUAAUGAUACCACCCAACCUUAUUGGGUUAUUGGAAGGAUAACAGGACAUGCUGUAGCCCUUCCUCACAGAAAGUGCCCCAUAUGUUUUUAGCCAUCACAUAGCUUAGUGGUUAAGAGAGUGAACUCUGCCCCCAGACUGCCUGGGUUGGAAUCCUGUCUCCACCACUUAACAGCUGUGUGAUCCAAGUCAAGUUACUUGACAUUUCUGUGCCUUAAUCUUCUUAUCUUUAAAUUGGGAUAAUAAAAAACCUAUUUCAGUGAGUUGUUCUGAGGAUUUAAUGAGAAGUGUGUGAAAAGUGACAUGGUUUGACACAUGGCAAGUGCUCAAUAACUAAGAGUUAUUGUUAUUUUUCUCGUUUUUGUUAUCAAUAGCUUUCUGAUUAUAUGUUUUACUUGGCCAUGUGAUAUGUUUUUCUUUUCAUAGCUAUUCUUAAUGUAUUAUUAUGAAUGCGUUAGUAACCAUUAAUGCAUAUGCACUUAAAUUACUGAUUAAAGAGUCCUGAAUUCUUAUUGAAGAACUAAUCCUCAAAUUCUCUGUGUGUGCAAGUAUGUGUGUGUGUAUGUGCACGUGCAUAUACUUCUUCUGGGUAAGUAUGUACCGGGUAGCAGGUAAUGCUGAUAUUGAAGACUCUGUAGACAGUGGUAUUUACAGAGAGUAGCCUAGGCAGCAACUGCAUUUGUCUCGGGUAGAGUUUAUCCGAAGGCAAGUGUGGCAGCCCUGCCCAGGUGAUUUUCACUGAAAUAUCUUUCCCUCCCAGAUUGUUAUUUCAUUUAGUGUUUUAGUAGUCACAGUGUGAAGAGCAUGAACUGCUUUAUUAUAUUGAGACAGAUCUCUGACCUCAGGAUCUUUAGAAAAAUAAAGAUUUUUAAGGAUGAGCAGGGUGUGUGUGGUAAAAUUUGUUAUAUCUUUAUUCUUACAGGUCUACAUUUUAAUUUUCAUUGCCUCAAAAUGGAAAGCAAAAUAGUACUUAGCAGGGCAGUGUUAAAUGAUAUUAUUAUGGUUAUGAUAGGCAGUGAACAAAAUAUUUUUUUCUUGUAGAGCAGAGUAUAACUUUUAUAAUCAAAAUCAAUUCUUGGAGCUUAAUUAAAUGUAACGGUAAUUUUAUGAACCUCUUGGACCUCCUCUUGCACCCCUUGUAUAUCUUUUGUCUUCCUGCCUAGAAUGUAAGCUCUGAGUGGCCAGGUACUGUCCCUUUAUCAUAUGUUAGUGUCUAAAAUAGGGCUGAUUGAUUUAUUGCAUGGGGAUUUUGCAUUCAGUACAUUCUGUUCUGUAUGUUCAAUAUAGAAUGCACUGGGCCUGGAAUUAGAACACCUGAUUUCCACCCUUAGCUCUACUCCUUAGGAGUUUGCAUAUUGGACAAGGUUUUAAAGUUAGCUGAACCUCAGUAUAUUUAUAAAAAUGUGGUUAAUAAUUCUUAGUCUACCUAGCUCACAUGGUUUUUAUAAGGCUUAAAUGAAAUAAUGUUCAUGAAAACACUUUGUAAAAGGUAAAUCAGUUUACACAUAUAUUAGCUUCUGGCACUGGAGUCUGAUGCCUGGGUUAGAUUUGGCUCUGUUGCUUUGUAAUGGUGUAAAAUUACUUAACCUUUCCAUGUUCUCAGAUUUUUCAUCUGCAAAAUAGAUAUAAUAAUAAUAGCUAUCUCAUAAUGAUACUGUUAGGAUUAAAUGAUAAGUUGCAUGUGAAUAGCUUAACAGUACCUGACAUGUAGAAAACACUCAAUAAUAUUGACUGCUAUGUCAUCAUCAUCUUUAUUAUUACUAUUAUUUUUAUUCAGAAAGCAUACAAGUUAAAAAAUAUUGGUUUAUCUGGUACAGAGGCACUGCUAACACCGAAUGAGGAUGUGGAGGGGAGAUAAAGGUUCAGGUAGUUUAAAAAUGAUGACCAAUUGUAGUAGCUUUAAGUAGCUCCAGGUGGCCUAUACUCUAGAUUUAUGCUAAAAUCUGAGUAGCAAACAUUUAUGGAAAAAAGAUAGCUAACAUUUAUUGACUCCUUACCAUGUGCCAAGCACCAUUCUAAGGGCCUUAUGUGUAAAAAUUAAAUCCUAUCAACCUUCUGAAGUAGGUACUAUAAAUAUCCUUACUUCACAGAUAAGGGAACUGAGGUACAGAGAAAAUAAAUCACUCGCCAAUGAACUCAGUCACUACUGGCGGCAGAUUCCAAUAUGUUCUUGAUCACCAUGCUAGAGUCCACAAGGAAAAGGGGGACCACCUGACUUGCCAACUGUAAUUUACAGCUAAGAAUUGAUUUGAGUUCUAUACCAUCCAGAUCCCAGCUCAGAUAUAGUAACACUUCGAGUGCAUGUUGAUAUUUGUGUUUAUGUGUGUAUGUGUGUAUAAUUUUCCCACAUCUUUCAUUUCCAGAUCUACCUUUCAUGGUCCAAACCCCUGUCUGCUAAAUGUCCCACAAGCAUUUCAAAUUUCACGUGUCUAAAACUGAACCCUUCUCUGGUGGAUUUGGGUUGUUAUUUACUCUCUCUGUGCCUCAGUUUUCCCAUCUUUAAAACAGAGAUGCCUCAUAUGGGGCUAUUGCUGGAUUAAAUGAGAUAAUACUGGUAAAAUGGCAUUGUGGUACCUGGCAGUGACAAGCACUAAAUAGCUGUAGCCCUUGCCACUGUGGGGAGCAAUUCUCGAGGCCUAGGGUAGUAGUGGGCAUUCUGGCUUCACUAUCCUGGGCAGUUAAAAUUUCCACUCAGGCUUUGGUUUCCAUGUUAUUGACAGAGGGAGUGGGCAGAAGUGGGGGCACAUAUAUACAAAGGAGUGAAUUAUAACAAAGAGUCUUUUCUGCUUCAGUUCUUGUGCAGAAAACAUAUGUUCAGUGAUGCAGGCAGCAGUUGGGUUAAAGACACACUGUAGGACUGCAGACAAAAGGCCUGUGCUCUUCCUGCAUUCACAGUGUUUCCAAACAUAUUCACUUGUCUCACUUGUUAGGGACUGAGCUGUCAGCUGGAUCCUCUUUCAAGUGUUAUUUCUUUUCCCCCGUUUCCCUUUCAAAGAAAGGCCUUGCCCCCCUUCCCCUCUCCGCCAGUGUUUUACACUUCAUAUAAUCCAGUGUGCAUGACAGACCACUUCAGCCUUUGUGCUACUGAUGCUGUAGGGAAGGAGGGAGCUGGUCUGAUGGAGAUCUUGGGUAACUUUUCACUUGCCCCAGGAUGGGGAGAUGCUAAGCCACUUUCAGGCCAAACAUCACCAGUGGCACAAUUAUUUGGUGUUUGGUGGAGCUAGCCAUUCUUCACCUUCAAUUAACAGACCAACAGAUCAGAGAGCAGUAAUAUUCUUAGAAGUGACAUCUGGGAAUUAGGGGCAUGUGUAUGUUGGGGUAGGGUUGGGGGCGUUCUUGCUUUUAUUAGUGGACUGAAUAGUUCCUGAUGAAAACACAAAGAUAAGGCUGUGCUGAAAUAACUGGAGAGAAGUCAUCUGCCAUUCUAGUAUUUAUUAUGUGAACUAUAUAUGUGUAGCCGUACCUAAUUCUUAAUCCAGGCAGUAUUACUGUGUGAAAGCUACAAUUCAAAACUUAUUGAUUUCUCUGUUGAAGGUUCUGCAGCUAUGGUGGGUUUAUUUCUAUGGGUGAGACUUUCUAGAAAGGCUUUUUUGUGUGUAACGAACCAGAACUACUAUUUCAGUGAAUAGUGAGCUAGACAUUUAAGUAAUGAGCAUGCUAGUGCUUCUGCCACUGAUUUAUAUUACCUUGGGGCAUUUCAUCCUCCCAGUCUCAGUUUUCCCAUAUGCAAAAUGGGAAGUACACUAUUGCUAUACCUUAUAAAGAUACCAUAUUAAAAUAAAAACUUAUAUGGAUACUGAUCGAUGUAGACUUCUCUAGUCUUGUAGAAAUCUUGUUUUGUGUCUUCAAUACAAUGUUUUGAGUCAAUUUCAGUGCUUCCAUUUCUUUUUUUCUUCCGAGAGUCUUGCUUGUGCUGUCUCAUGAUAUUGUUUAUUAGUUGAGUUGCUCAUCCUGGAAAACACCAGCAUGUUCCUAGGAAGGAGAAACAUCAGAAAGGUGGAGAAUUUCCCAUUGGCUUGGAACUGUAAAUGGGUUGUUAGCUCAUUUCAGCAGUAAGAGGCAUUUAUGAUCUUGCAAAUAAACAGGCGGUCAAGUGAAAUUUCCCAUAUAUGGUUUCUUCUGGUGUCAGGAUAAUUUCAACACUUAAAAAUCCGUAGAAGAAAAAUAUCGUAUAAAUAUUUUCUGGUGGAAAGUGCCAACAAAGUCAUCCUCGCCAACACGUGUCAGAACUGACAAAGGAAAACUGAUGGUAUUACAAUUUUUAGGGCUGUCAUUUGAAAAUCCUUGAAAGGAAAACAUUGUGGGAAUGUUCAUACUCCCUUCAGACUGGAAGUCACAGCCCGCAAAGAUUUCAGUAGUGGAUGAAGCUAAUAGACUGUAAAUGGGGAUGGAAUUGCUCUUGAUGUGGCACCUUCCUCUUUUGCCUGGAGUGGAGUGUCACCCAGAGCCAACAGUGGAACAACUGGAAAAUAAAUUGUUUCCCAUAUAGAAUGGGCUCAUCUCGCAGAGUGAUGGGAAGGAGGUGAGGGUAAUAAGCGUGUGUUCGUGAGUGUCCCCCCACCCCCACUCCCAGUGUAUAGGUUUUGUUUUUUCCCUCUUUUGAAAGGAAACUAAUGCUUCAGAAGCUAUUAUGAUUACUGGACUUUCUCGGAAAGAAUAAUUAUGCCGUUUCUUUCACCUUUCGAUGAAUCAGCCUUUAUUAUACAGACUGCAUGUAAUGGUGACUGAGAGUCAACGCUGCUGAAACAAACGAAUCUAUUAGACUACUCUGAAAACAGAGAAGAGAACAAUGAUUUUGUAAACUCCAUAAAGGUCAAAAAAAGGCUUUUCAAAGCGUGGGCUGUUUUUCACCAUCAUUUGAAACACCAAACUUGCCAACUGGAGCUCUGAGGUCCAGCCUCCGUUCGCUGCUCCAGCGCCCCUGGUUAAGCCUGUGGGGCAGUUUGUCUUCCCCAGGGCUCGGGCAUUCUAAAGGCUGCCACACGACUGUGCCCGAGAGCUCACCAGUGCCAGGCAGGCUGCUGGCUCAGUGGCUUUUAGUGAAACAGAUGAACUGUAAUGAUUUCUGUACUGGGAGGAAGAGAAAGAUGGGAGAUCCUGUGCAAGUGCUUUGGGAAAAUAAAAUUAAGCAAUCAUUCAAAUUUAUGAUUGUGGUAUUUUAGGAUUUUGUUUUUUCAAUCAGUAGUCAUGUUUCUUCUUCCAGGAUCUUUUGUCCCCUAUUUUUUUUUAAACAUAAUACUGCUGAUAUUAAUAAGAAGAAUUGUAAAUAUUUAUUGAGUAUUUCUUUUAUGUGCUCAGCAGUUUACAUUGAUUAUCUCACUCAUUUAAUCUUAACAGCAGUUUUAUGAAUUAGGCACUACUGUUUAUACUCCUGUACGGAUGAGGAGACUGAGCAAAGAAACAUUUUCCCCCAAUUCUUUCCCCACAGACAUUCUUGAUUACUCUCAGCUAUCUUAGCUCCCUAGUAUGUGAUGAAAAAAUGCCAAAAUAUUUCUUACUGGUAAGUUUUUGAGGAUUCACUCAGUAAACGCUGCUGAAUGUUCAUUCAAAUGAAGUGGUCUUUGAGAUGAACUGAACCAAGUAUGACUUUAAGUGGCAGUAAAAGGCUGCUUUGGGGGCAGCCUCUCGGAGACUCCUGGCUUUGUGCCUUCCCUUUCAGGACAGUCUCAGCUUAUCUAUUGCCUUCCUUGGGAGGUAGAAUAUGAUGGGGGGAGGGGAGGGACGCAGGGAUGAAGACAGCAGCCGUAAGGAAUCCAGUAGACGUGGCACCCAGUGGUAACUUGGUGUUAUCACUUAGCCGAGGUCAUCCAGGAUGUGUUUUCUCAAAUUCAGGAAACAGGGGAAAGAAAGUUUGAACAUUGUGUAAACAUUAGCACCCCCAAAACCUCCUGCUCCUGGAGAGAGAGAUAAGGUAGGCAGAAGGGCUGGGUGGAAUGUUUAUUUGUUCUGCUGGGCUGUGGAUCCGAGCGUGCUGGAAAUCUUUGGUGGUGCCCAGUCCAUUUUAGAAAACGUGAAGGCAUCACUCAGCAUUGAGCUGCAGAGGCCUCAUGAAACAGCCAUCUUCAACUGACAAUCAGCAAAUGAAGGAAGACCUGAGAGCGACCUUUCUUUGAUGGGACUAAGGCUAUCUCAGUGGGUUCUGUGCCUUUCUUCUUUUAAAAAAAAAAAAAAGGAAAGAAGGGAAAAAAAGUAUUCCUGGACGUUUGAAGAGGGGAGUCCUGG